rnacentral:rRNA from 1 species
AUUGAACGCUGGCGGCAGGCCUAACACAUGCAAGUCGAACGGUAACAGGAAACAGCUUGCUGUUUCGCUGACGAGUGGCGGACGGGUGAGUAAUGUCUGGGAAACUGCCUGAUGGAGGGGGAUAACUACUGGAAACGGUAGCUAAUACCGCAUAACGUCGCAAGACCAAAGAGGGGGACCCUCGGGCCUCUUGCCAUCGGAUGUGCCCAGAUGGGAUUAGCUUGUUGGUGGGGUAACGGCUCACCAAGGCGACGAUCCCUAGCUGGUCUGAGAGGAUGACCAGCCACACAGGAACUGAGACACGAUCCAGACACCUACGGGAGGCAGCAGUGGGGAAUAUUGCACGAUGGGCGCAAUCCUGAAGCAGCCAUGCCGCGUGUAUGAAGAAGGCCUUCGGGUUGUAAAGUACUUUCCGCGGGGAGGAAGGGAGUAAAGUUAAUACCUUUGCUCAUUGACGUUACCCGCAGAAGAAGCACCGGCUAACUCCGU